GAGGGCUAGGGGAGCAAACCGGAUUAGAUACCCGGGUAGUCCUAGCUGUAAACACUGCCCACUUGGUGUUGCUUCUUCUAUAGGGGGGAGCAGUGCCGGAGCGAAGGUGUUAAGUGGGCCGCUUGGGGAGUAUGGUCGCAAGGCUGAAACUUAAAGGAAUUGGCGGGGGAGCACCGCAACGGGAGGAGCGUGCGGUUUAAUUGGAUUCAACGCCGGAAAACUCACCGGGAGCGACCUUUGGAUGAGAGUCAACUUGAUGAGCUUACUCGAUAGAAGGAGAGGUGGUGCAUGGCCGUCGUCAGCUCGUACCGUAGGGCGUUCACUUAAGUGUGAUAACGAGCGAGACCCCCAUCCUUAAUUGCAAAUCUCAGGGCGACUUGAGAUGCACUUUAAGGAGACCGCCAGCGCUAAGCUGGAGGAAGGAGAGGUCGACGGCAGGUCAGUACGCCCCGAAUCUCCCGGGCUACACGCGCGCUACAAAGGACAGGACAAUGAGUUGCGACCUCGAAAGAGGGAGCUAACCUCGAAACCUGUUCGUAGUUAGGAUUGAGGGCUGUAACUCGCCCUCAUGAAUGUGGAUUCCGUAGUAAUCGCGGGUCAACAGCCCGCGGUGAAUAUGCCCCUGCUCCUUGCACACACCGCCCGUCAAACCAUCCGAGCUGGUGUUGGAUGAGGGUAUGUCCGACAGGAUAAACUCGAAUCUGAUGUCAGUGAGGAGGGUUAAGUCGUAACAAGGUAACCGU
rnacentral:rRNA from 1 species